UUAACUUAUUUGUUUUGUUACUCAGAGAUGCCACUAUAAUACAUAGAGUUUGUGAGACCUCCGGCGGGCGCCCUGGGCCCCCGGGGGGGCGCGGGCCGCGGCACCGCGAUGGGUGCCGCACCGCCGAAGCAACUUGGAAAGGUUCGCGAUGGUUUGAAGUUGCCUUUCGGCUUCUUUUAAUGAUCCCUCCGCUGGUUCACCAACGGAGA
rnacentral:misc_RNA from 1 species